rnacentral:rRNA from 1 species
AGUGAACGCUGGCGGUAGGCCCAACACAUGCAAGUCGAACGGCAGCACAGUAAGAGCUUGCUCUUACGGGUGGCGAGUGGCGGACGGGUGAGGAAUACAUCGGAAUCUACUUUUUCGUGGGGGAUAACGUAGGGAAACUUACGCUAAUCCCGCAUACGACCUACGGGUGAAAGCAGGGGAUCUUCGGACCUUGCGCGAUUGAAUGAGCCGAUGUCGGAUUAGCUAGUUGGCGGGGUAAAGGCCCACCAAGGCGACGAUCCGUAGCUGGUCUGAGAGGAUGAUCAGCCACACUGGAACUGAGACACGGUCCAGACUCCUACGGGAGGCAGCAGUGGGGAAUAUUGGACAAUGGGCGCAAGCCUGAUCCAGCCAUACCGCGUGGGUGAAGAAGGCCUUCGGGUUGUAAAGCCCUUUUGUUGGGAAAGAAAAGCAGCAGGUUAAUACCCCGCUGUUCUGACGGUACCCAAAGAAUAAGCACCGGCUAACUUCGUG